UACGUAGGGAGCAAGCGUUGUCCGGAUUUAUUGGGCGUAAAGAGCUCGUAGGCGGCUUUGAAAGUCAGGUGUGAAACCUCCAGGCUCAACCUGGAGACGCCACUUGAUACUUCAAUGGACUUGAGUUCGGUAGGGGACCACGGAAUUCCUGGUGUAGCGGUGAAAUGACGCAGAGUAUCAGGAGGAACACCUGUGGCGAAAGCGGCUCACUGGACCAUAACUGACGCUGAUGCACGAAAGCUAGGGGAGCAAACAGG
rnacentral:rRNA from 1 species